rnacentral:rRNA from 1 species
UACGUAGGCAGCAAGCGUUGUUCGGAGUUACUGGGCGUAAAGGGUGUGUAGGCGGUUCUUUAAGUUUGGUGUGAAAUCUCCCGGCUCAACCGGGAGGGUGCGCCGAAUACUGAGGGACUAGAGUGUGGGAGAGGAAAGUGGAGUUCCUGGUGUAGCGGUGAAAUGCGUAGAUAUCUGCAGGAACACCCGUGGCGAAAGCGGCGAGCUGGAUCACUACUGACGCUGAGGAACGAAAGCUAGGGGAGCAAACAGG